rnacentral:lncRNA from 1 species
AUAUCCACUUCUCAGAGAAGUGGGACUUUACCAAGUUCAGUGUGGAUGAAUUUGAAGACAUGAUGGCUGAGAAGCAGCUUAUCCCAAUAACUGUGGGGUCAAGUAUACCCCCAAUCGUGACCCUCCGGACAAGCGGUGGGCCCUGCACUCAUGAGGGCUUCUACUGUGCUGCCCCCUCCUAAUGCCCACCAAUAAAUCCUACUUCCUGUCCACCUUAAAAAAAUGACAAAGUGUAGUCACCUCUUGAGAGUAAGAAUAGGGCUGGUGUGGAAGUGAGUUUUUACUUCUCACUGGACAUAUUCCAUGUUGGAAAACUGUUCUGAAGUGGGUAUCAUUUUUAUAACAUUUAAAUUUCAAAAAAUAUUUCACUGUGUGCCUAGUCUGUGCAAGGGGAGAAUGCAGAGGAGGGAGGCAUUAGAACCACACGUGAGGAACUCUGGAGUCCAGUGUGUUUGACUGCAGAAAGCCAUUACUUAUCAUGUUUGGCUAAUAAAUACUGUGUGAAGAUUACUUCUGAUGUGUAAUCUCUUAAUUACAGAUACACAAAAAAGGCCAGUCAUGAAUCACGCCAAAUUGGAAGCAACCAAGAUGUCCUUCAGCGUGUGAAUGGAUAAGCAAACUAUGGUGCAUUCAGGGGAAGAUGAGCAGGUGCGAGACAGGGAG